GACGUAGGGCGCGAGCGUUGUCCGGAUUUAUUGGGCGUAAAGAGCUCGUAGGCGGCUUGUUGCGUCGACUGUGAAAACCUGCGGCUCAACCGUGUGGUCUGCAGUCGAUACGGGCAGGCUGGAGUUCGGUAGGGGAGACUGGAAUUCCUGGUGUAGCGGUGAAAUGCGCAGAUAUCGGGAAGAACACCCGUGGCGAAGGCGGCUCUCUGGGACGGUACUGACGCUGAGACGCGAAAGCGUGGGGAGCGAACAGG
rnacentral:rRNA from 1 species